GAGGUAAUGGCUCACCAAGGCGACGACGGGUAGCCGGCCUGAGAGGGCGACCGGCCACACUGGGACUGAGUGCAGCACGCCGCGUGAGGGAUGACGGCCUUCGGGUUGUAAACCUCUUUCAUCAGGGAAGAAAAGGACGUGACUGGACCUUCC
rnacentral:rRNA from 1 species